UACAUGGGGUGCAAACGUUGCUCGGAAUCAUUGGGCGUAAAGCGCGCGUAGGCGGUUGCUUAAGUCGGAUGUGAAAGCCCUCGGCUUAACUGAGGAAGUGCAUCCGAAACUGAGCAGCUAGAGUACGAAAGAGGGUCGCGGAAUUCCCGGUGUAGAGGUGAAAUUCGUAGAUAUCGGGAGGAACACCGGUGGCGAAGGCGGCGACCUGGGUAGAUACUGACGCUGAGGUGCGAAAGCGUGGGGAGCAAACAGG
rnacentral:rRNA from 1 species